CUUUGGUGCCUGUGUUGUAAGUGUGGCUUACUUGGUCUCGUCCAGCUCGGGGAACCCGUUUGUACGUGGUUAGUGCGGCCAGAGGGUACAAAAUGGAUGUUGGAGGAGGGAAUAAGCUUUGGGCCUCCAAGGGAACCCCAUAUCAACAUCUACAAUCUUCGAUCUCCUGAUCUCUAGGGUUUGCUGUUGUUGAAAAACAGGCUUUGAAUGGAUCUGGGUGAAUCCAGGUGCCAGAGAGGAUCGGUCAGGAGCCAUGCGUGCCACUGUUUGAUCUCAGUCUGAUCCGUCCUUGACUGGGUUUGGUCUGUCCUGUAACAGGAAACUUCUUGGUUGUGGAGUUGGAAUCCAAGGCCUCCUGUGUUUUCCUGGUCUUCCUGGUCGUGUUUUACUGUUUGUUUUGGCUGAACCAGUCUCACAAAACUAUUGUAUUUUAGCCUGAGGACAAUGCAGAUUUUAAAAGGCUGUGCCUAUUUCUUUGAAGAAUCAAGGGUUAUUAGACCUUGGUAGAAUUUCUAACUUUGUAAUCUCCCUACCUGGAAAAAGAAAGUAAAGUCUUUUCAACUAAAA